CUGUAAUUCUCGAGCUCCUUAAGACAUCAGUUGUGCAACCUCCCUCCCAUUCUACUGUUUGCUUUUAUUGCUUGUGGGUCAGAAGCAGUGCAGUCUACAAGGAUUUCCUCCUUUCCUUCAAUUACUCCUGAAAGGCACUGCUUCUCAAGCCUGAUGUUUAAGUCAUGGAUUAUUUCCUAAACAGCACUGGGGCUGAAGCAGGAGGCAAAUGGCCGAUUCUCUCUGGAGGAAGAUGUGAAAAUCCAGGAUCCUGUGGACAUCGGUGGCUUUGGCUCCCUUGGGCGAGUGAGCAGAGUGAUGCUUCUCAGACUGCAGAAAGGCCCUCACAGACACACCCAGAAGUAAAGAAUAAUAUAUAAAUAGCUUCCUGGGGAUCCUUCAGAAUGUCUUCCUGUUUGUGUAUCCUCUACUAUCAAUGCAAAGUACCUCUCAUCCAAUUUUCCACAGUCAACCCAAUGCGAAUACAAUCGACCCUCUGCGUCCUACUGUUCUGCAUCCCUGGAUUCAACCAACCAUCCAUUGAAGAUAUUUGGAAACAAAAACUGCACUUCUAGAGCAGCAAGAGACAUAGCACUCCUCCCCUGCAGAGACCACAGAAUCAUGGCGUCAUCUUGGAAGCAAAGAACAGCCCUCACCAGACACUAAACCUGUUGGCACUUUGAUGUUGGACUUCCCAGCAUCCAGAACUCUAAAAACUAAAAUUACUCAGUGCUUGUUAUUUUGUUCUAGCACACAAAUGGACUAAGAUAUUGCUAUAUUUUCUAGUGUUGAAAAUACAUUCAAUGUAACAAUUGCCCUCAGAUGUUGUCUAACAUAUAACUAAGAUCUAAAAAAUGCAACAAAAGCUUUGUGUUUUAGACUGGUGUUGUAUAUAAGAGUAAGAGGAGAGACAGGAAACUAGCCUGAUUUGAGAGGGAUGUAUUUGGGGCACCCAGUGUAACACCACACACAUAGAAGCCAAUAAAUAAAUGUUUGUUGAGUUAAUAAAAAGUGAGGUCUGUGAACAGGGGACUUUAUUAUUAUGGGAGGCACAGGGUGCAGUAGAAAUGGCUCUGGCCUUGAGGACACAUCUGUCCUGCACAUCUUUUGCUGCUCCUUCAUCCACUCCAGCCCUUAUGUACCUUAUGUACCUUAUGUACCCAUGAUGGCCUCCACUUGAGCUCUCUCCCCUUCUGGCUCUCAGAUAGGUAGGGCCAGUGGGGAGCAAUGGGAGAGGUCAGAGGGAGAAGGGAAGAGAAGGAGGCCACAGUACUCAAUCCUUGACCCCUUCCUUGUAAUGUCUAGGGAUAGCUGUGUCUCCCAAUCACAAGCCACUGUCCUGCCCUUUUUGACCUCCGACCCCAUCAACAUUCCAAGGGUGGAAAUGGUGAGGUUGGUGCUCUCCUCUGGGCACUGUUGUAACCUGUGGCUUCCCAACACCCUGCUGUAAACAGUCUUUUGAUGAAAGUCUUCUCAAAUUGCUUAAUUUGGACAGUGACAGCCUUUCCCACAUGGGCCUGUACAGCUAUGCUUGUUCAUAGGGAACACUUGGUUUUGUGCAGUAAAAAUCCAGUGAAGUGUGUUAAAGAAAAAAGCAAAGACAUGGGGUGAUGCAUGAGAAGCUGUUGAGUAACUUCUAGGGCCCAGAGGCAAGGUCAUCAGAACCCUUCCCAUGUGGUGCCAGAACUGGAACUAGAAGGUCAGCAGGAAGUAAAAUGGCCAUGCAAGGCACCCCUCCAGGCCUCAGUGGGGCUUUCAUAGCUGCUUCCCUCUGCAUGUCCCCCUGUCUCUCCCCACUAGCCAUGCCUGUCUCUCUUGGUUUCCCUGGUGAGAGAUGUUCCUCCCUUAAUUUACAGGUUCACAUGUUCUUAACUCAACUCACUAAGGUUCACAAUGCCUCUUAGGCCUUAAAAGAAUAACUAGGCUUUUCCACACAGGGCCAACACUCCACGCUUAUCCAAUUAGCUAUGGCAGGAGGAUCUGGGUCUGUUGUAUUUCUGCCUUCAUGAAUGAGGAAACAGUGGUAUAGUUACAUAAUUUUUAAGGUCACAUGGUGGUAGGACAAG
rnacentral:lncRNA from 1 species